rnacentral:rRNA from 1 species
UACGUAGGGUGCAAGCGUUAUCCGGAAUUAUUGGGCGUAAAGAGCUCGUAGGCGGUUUGUCGCGUCUGCUGUGAAAACUGGGGGCUCAACCCCCCAGCCUGCAGUGGGUACGGGCAGACUAGAGUGCGGUAGGGGAGAUUGGAAUUCCUGGUGUAGCGGUGGAAUGCGCAGAUAUCAGGAGGAACACCGAUGGCGAAGGCAGAUCUCUGGGCCGUAACUGACGCUGAGGAGCGAAAGCAUGGGGGAGCGAACAGG